CAAUAAUAAAGAUAAAUGGAAAUUAAUUUACAAAACCUAGCAAGAGAAAGAAAGAACCGAACCGACAGAACAAAAACGGAUUUGACAUAAGAUAGAUGUCAUAGACAAUCGGUUUGGAGGGCGUGCCACGCUAUUCUUGCUUGUUCAUCUAUCCUACCGUAGUGGCCUGGCCAGCCGGCUAUAGCCGCGUCGCAUCGGCCUCGCACCUCUCAUCAUAACCGGCAGGCAGCGUGCAUGCAUUGAUAACAGAAAGAAAAAAAACUGAACUCGGCACUGGCAAGGCACUGGCUAUCUGAAUCUGGCUUUUCUCGUGGAGAAGUAGGUACUAUUGUUCCUUGAUCUGGCUACCUGGGUCACAAAUAUACAUAGCCUAAACGUACUAAGUACAAUAUUGUAUAUUAAUUUUGGGUCGGGGUAAAGGU